GCCUGGGUGGCUCAGUCAGUUAAGCGUCUGACUUCAGCUCAGGUCAUGAUCUCACGGUUUGUGGGUUUGAGCCCCGCGUCAGGCU
rnacentral:tRNA from 1 species